rnacentral:rRNA from 1 species
GGAAGUAACUAGUGGAGGUAGAGCUCUGAUUGGGUAGUAGGUCCCUUUAUGGGAUACUGCACUCUCUCAAACUACGAAUGCCAUUAGUGUAAUCCAGGGAGUUAGACUGCGGGAUAUAAGUUCCGUUAGUCGAGAGGGAAACAGCCCAGAUCAUCAGUUAAGGUCCCUAAGCCAUGCUAAGUGGAAAAGGAGGUGAAAUUUCUCAGACAGCCAGGAGGUUUGCUCAGAGGCAGCAAUCCUUUAAAGAGUGCGUAACAGCUCACUGGUCAAGAGAUCUUGCGCCGAUAAUUCAACGGGGCUCAAGCAUGGUACCGAAACUAUGAUUCUUAUGUCCCACACUAAAAACCUAAAAUCAGCAAAAAUGUCUGGUAUAUUUGGGUUCUUAGUGUGGGGCAUAGGGAGGUAGGAGAGCGUUCUAUAUGCAGUGAAGUUUUACCGUAAGGUGAAGUGGAGCGUAUAGAAGUGAGAAUGCAGGCAUGAGUAGCGAAAUUCAGGUGAAAAACCUGAACACCGGAAGCUCAAGGUUUCCUUAGCUAUGUUAGUCAACUAAGGGUUAGUCGGUCCUAAGCCGAGGCCGAAAGGCGUAGGCGAUGGACAUGCCGUUAAUAUUCGGCAACUGGUUGAUAUUCGUUAUUAGCUAUGGGGGGAACGAUUUGGAGACGAUGGAGUCCCGAGAGGUCGGGAUUUAAACAGCAAAUUUAGCUCGAUUUGGCAAAUCCGAUCGGGCGAAAACCUCUGCCAUUGGUAGGGGAAGAAAUGAGCUGUUAUGAAAAGCUGAUGCUACGGCUGAGGCAAUUCUAUCAAUUCGAGUCGCGAGAAAAACCUCUAUGUGAGAAUAUCAAACAACCGUACCGCANNNNNNNNNGUAUACCAAGGUGACCGAGCGAGGCUCUGUUAAGGAAUUCGGCAAAUUACACCCGUAACUUCGGGAAAAGGGUGGCCAUUUUAGCUCUGCGUAAGCAGAAAUCUAAGGUGGUUGCAGUAAAAUAGCUCAAGCGACUGUUUAACAAAAACACAGGUACCUGCUAAAGCGCAAGCUGAUGUAUAGGUGCUGACGCCUGCCCAAUGCUAGAAGAUCACGGAAGGGGGUUACCUCGAUUUAUCGAGGGAAGCUUCCAACUUAAGUCCUAGUCAAUGGCGGCUGUAACUAUAACGGUCCUAAGGUAGCGAAGUUCCUNNNNNNNNNNNNNNNNNNNNNNNNNNNNNNGCGAACAUUGAAAUGGCUGUGAAGAUGCGGCCUACCCACACCAGGACAAAAAGACCCCGGGAUCUUUACUACAGCUUGUCAUUGAGAUAAAGUUGUUGAUGUAGAGCGUAGGAGGGAGACUUUGAAACCCCGAUGCAAGUUGGGGUGGAGUCGCCAAUGUAACACCUCCCUUUGAUAAUUUUGUUUCUAACUUCUACAGUUACCCUGUAGGAAAACAGUGUCAGGUAGGUAGUUUGACUGGGGCGGUUUCUUACUAAAGUGUAACGUAAGAUUUCAAAGGUCGACUCAGGCUGGAUGGAAAUCAGCCGGAGAGCAUAAUGGUAUAAGUCGGCUUUACUGUAAGACUGACAGGUCGAGCAGUUACGAAAGUAGGACAUAGUGACCCUUAAGUAGCGCGUGGUAGCGCUUUUGAUUACAGGAUAAAAGUUACCCCGGGGAUAACAGGCUAGUCUUGCCCGAGCGUUCAAAGCGGCGGCAAGGUUCGGCACCUUAAAAUUGAUAUUGCGAUGUCGGCUCGUCACAUCCUGGGGCUGUACAAGGUCCCAAGGGUUGGGCUGUUCGCCCAUUAAAGUGGCACGCGAGCUGGGUUCAAACCGACGUGAGUCAGGUUGGUCUCUAUCCGGUGUGGGCGUAGUAACCUUGAGGGAAUUGGCCCCUAGUACGAGAGGAUCGGGGCGAGGUAACCUCUAGUGCACCAGUUGUUCCACCAGGAGCAUAGCUGGGUAGCUACGUUGCUAUUAGGAUAAGCGCUGAAAGCAUAUAAGCGCGAAGCCUCUCCCAAGAUAAGGGUUACUGGUUCCCCAGAAGAUAACUGGGUUGAUAGGCUCUAGGUGUAAGCACCGCAAGGUGUG